CCCCUCCCCCUGCACCCCCCCCCCCUCCCACGCGCACCGCCCCGCUCGACUGCCGCCUCCCGCCAGCAGCUUCUGGAAAACGGCGCGCCGGCCCCCCGGGGCAGGAAGAAGGGCCAAAGAAGAGGGGGAAGGGGCUAGGACUUCCUGAGCACCAGCCUCCGAAGGCCUGAGGGAAGGGGAUUUCAGUUCUGAGUCGAAAAGUGAAGACCACUUAUGGGCAAAAUUGUAAAGCAGAGGAAGGGAAGAAAAUGGAAGAAGCAAGAACCAAGGAUUGAGAGGACCUGCCAUGUGCCAGGCCAGCCCCCCUUGAAGUAAGAAAUGUCAUCAGGGUACUAAGAGAUAAAUAAGAAUGGAAACUUCCGGAAGAAAGAAAUCCACUAAGGACUGAAAUCUGUUUUCCACACCUAAAUUUUGGAGGGCUGGUGUUGGACUCUCCUCAUAGGGAAAGUCUAUCACAAAAUGUCCAUCCUCUUCACAAGAGUGACCAGAAAAUGGACAGGCAUUUCUGCUCCAUAGAGUCCCAGGCAGUGUGAUGCUGGUUUGUGAGACAUCACUGGAAUCUUACCUGGACAGACCAGAAUCACAAGAACAGGAAAAUGAACAUCCUUCCAUUAGAAUCGCAGUCCGAAGACGACACUUCAGCAACUGUUACUGCAUUUGGCUUUGACCGGGUCAAAGGAAUUGAGCCCAUCCUCUCCUGCCUGACAAGUACCAUAUUAUCUGAAGCCCCAAAUACCCAGUGCUGAACUUUCCCUAUUUCUACUGAUAAAAUCACCAAGAGGUUAUAGUGUCCAGCAACAGCGAAAUCCCUUGUAAAGGAGAGGAAACAAAAUUUGAAGAAAGAAAUGUAAAGUUUCCAAGGGUGACAAUUCAUGGAAUUUAGGAAUUGCUGGGACUGAGUUGUUUCAUUUAAAGCUCCAAUAUUUGUUAAGAUUUUGCCACCUUCAUCUCUGUGACAGACUAUAUGAUGCAGAGAUGUGCACUGAAACCAAUUACGUGGAAUGGAAAAUUCUGCCUUUGAAGUUGGUCUAGUCACUGCAAAAUGUACCAAGUCUGUUCAAGUGUGUGGGCUUCCAGAGCGUAAGUAGCACAAACAUCAGAGGUUUUUUUAAACCUGUUCUAUCUAGUUUAAUAGGUCAGAACUUCAAGUUUGAUUAAAUUUUGCAAUCCCCUGUUACCUGAUUUCUGUUCAGCCUAGACUAAUUACUUUCAGGACCUUGCUAAUUGGGAUGACUGGCAAAGACAAUUUGUCAUGUGGCUCAUUUUUCUUAAUAUUUUUCAAUAUUUAGUGCUCAAUGUUUAUAAAGUUAUAGUAAAUUAGAUUAGUAUUCACAAAUGUCAACAUGCACUUCCCACAAUUUAGCAUUUCAAGGUCAUUGUUGACCCUCUAAUCUUCGAUAGACCAUCUGAGAUUAUGGUACUAAAUUCCAUAUGUAAUUAUAACUUGGCCACAGAAAAGUUUUUCUCCACGGGGAUUCCAGGUAAAUUGUUCUUUCUUGGCAUUCUUUUUGCCCAUGAAAUGAGGAGAACUGAAGUAAUUCUUCUUUUAAAUUGAGAUGCCCCUUGAGGUGGCAACAUCUUAACAAUGUGGGCAUAGAAAUCAGUGGGAAAAAAUGACCAAUAAGAGAUGUUAGUCUGAAAAGUUUGGAAAACAUAUUUUUAUACAAGCCUACAACUGAAAUCAGAUCCCAAACUUCCCACGCGGUACUGGCUACAUGUCCCUCAAGUCAAGGGGGAUGGUGUGACCAUCCGUCACUCUUAAACAUCACAGUGUCCUAGGGCUCCAGAAUGUGAGACCCAAAGCCUAAAUCUGUUGGGAUAUUUAUGCUACCUGCUCAAUGAUAGUCCUCCUGGAAAAGCAGGUAAUUGAUAAGUGAAUGAACCAGUGAGUAUACUCACAAACCUCAAACAUUGAUUUAAUAAGACCAAAUGACUUCUGAGGCUUUGCUUUCUGCCUGGUAAUUUACAUCCAGGAUCUCAUUUAAUCCUAACACUACUGUAAUACUACUUGCCCAAAGAGCCUAGUUCAGGCUAAAUCAGUUAGGUGGAAGUUUGUGAAUGUGGCUGUGCACCUAUUUUUGCUCUCUAUUGCGUUCAGCCUUGAACACUCGGAGGCAGGCAGAACACAGGCUCUGGCUCCUGGAGCCUGUAUUCCACUGUGGGGGCCUGGGGCAGUGGGGUGUGUGCAGAUUACAAAGCAACACUGAUGGAAGUACACGGUGAGAAGUCCCUGGAUAAUAAGGUGUUCAAACUGCUUUGUGAAUAGUGGGAGGCAUUCUGCGUGGGGUUUUAGGGGUAGUAGAAAGAUCUGGAAGGCUUCACAGAAGGUAACGGUUAAGUUGGACUUUAGAAGACUGAAAAGGAAUUUAUCAACAGAAAAGAUGGGGUAGCAUGGGUCGUUUUAGGGAGAUGUUCAACAACAUUUUGUGUGUCAGAAGUGAGGGGACUUCUGCCCUAACUCAGGGUGGUUGGCAUCAGAAUUGCAUUGCAAUGAUCAAGCUGAGAAAUAAAUAGGAGAUGAUUAUCAUAUAUAAGACAUUUUACUCCAUGAGGGAAACUGUAGAAAAUAAAGAUGCCAUUUUCAAGAUAGCUAAAAUCAGAAGAACUAAGAAGCAUAAUAUUGAUAAAAUCUUUUAACUUUAACCUGGAGUCAGUCGCUUGCUCAUCUUUGUUCAUAUUCAUUUGUGUGGUUCAUUGUCUAAGCAGUGCCCGUUGAAAGCCAUGCAGGCAUUUGCAGGCACUCCAGGUUUAUAAGUAGCUAAACCAUCAAAUAAAUGUGACUUCAUCCAGACAGAAAUA